UUGGAGGGCAAGUCUGGUGCCAGCAGCCGCGGUAAUUCCAGCUCCAAUAGCGUAUAUUAAAGUUGUUGCAGUUAAAAAGCUCGUAGUUGAAUUUCGGGAUUAAUUUAUUGGUCGUGCAAUAGUACGUACUGGUAUUAUUGAUUCCUACCUUCUGACGAACCAUGAUGUCAUUAAUUUGGUGUCAUGGGGAAUCAGGACUGUUACUUUGAAAAAAUUAGAGUGUUUAAAGCAGGCUCACGCUUGAAUACAUUAGCAUGGAAUAACGAAAUAGGACGUUUGAUUCUAUUUUGUUGGUUUCUAGGAUCGACGUAAUGAUUAAUAGGGAUAGUUGGGGGCAUUAGUAUUCAAUUGUCAGAGGUGAAAUUCUUGGAUUUAUUGAAGACUAACUACUGCGAAAGCAUUUGCCAAGGAUGUUUUCAUUAAUCAAGAACGAAAGUUAGGGGAUCGAAGACGAUCAGAUACCGUCGUAGUCUUAACCAUAAACUAUGCCGACUAGGGAUCGGAUGAUGUUAAUUUUUUAAUGACUCAUUCGGCGCCUUACGGGAAAC
rnacentral:rRNA from 1 species